rnacentral:rRNA from 1 species
CCUACGGGAGGCAGCAGUAGGGAAUCUUUCACAAUGGGCGAAAGCCUGAUGGAGCAACGCCGCGUGCAGGAUGAAGGCCUUCGGGUUGUAAACUGCUUUUAUAAGCGAGAAAUAUGAUGGUAACUUAUGAAUAAGGAUCGGCUAACUACGUGCCAGCAGCCGCGGUCAUACGUAGGAUCCGAGCAUUAUCCGGAGUGACUGGGUGUAAAGAGUUGCGUAGGUGGCAUAAUAAGUAGCUGGUGAAAUCUGGUGGCUCAAACAUUCAGACUAUUAGCUAAACUGUUAAGCUCGAGACCGUUAGGGGUAACUGGAAUUUCUAGUGUAGGAGUGAAAUCCGUAGAUAUUAGAAGGAACACCAAUAGCGUAGGCAGGUUGCUGGGACGGUUCUGACACUAAGGCACGAAAGCGUAGGGAGCAAACGGGAUUAGAUACCCCAGUAGUC